rfam:Gossypium hirsutum cultivar TM-1 chromosome 11, whole genome shotgun sequence
AUUCCAUGAUGAGGGCACUUUUGUAACAGUUCUUUAAAUCUUUCCCAUGCCUCACACAAGGACUUGUCAUCCAUCUGUUGGAAAAUAGUAAUUUCAUUUUGCAACU